AACCACCAUGAGAGCAUGAGAGCCUCACUGGUCUUGUUACUGAUGGGUUUGGCCUCCUCAUGGAGGAGCAGAAGGCCAUGUGUGUCCUGGGCCUGCUGAACAGAGUGGCCCUGGACCUCCUUCUUGAAAAGAAAGGGGGGUUUGCCCUCUCAUAGGUGAUCAGCACUG